rnacentral:rRNA from 1 species
GAUCAUGGCUCAGAUUGAACGCUGGCGGAAUGCUUUACACAUGCAAGUCGAACGGGUAGAGGGGGCAACCCCUUGAGAGUGGCGAACGGGUGAGUAAUAUAUCGGAACGUGCCCGGUCGUGGGGGAUAACGUAGCGAAAGCUACGCUAAUACCGCAUACGAUCUACGGAUGAAANCGGGGGAUCGCAAGACCUCGCGCGAUUGGAGCGGCCGAUAUCAGAUUAGGUAGUUGGUGAGGUAAAGGCUCACCAAGCCGACGAUCUGUAGCUGGUCUGAGAGGACGACCAGCCACACUGGAACUGAGACACGGUCCAGACUCCUACGGGAGGCAGCAGUGGGGAAUUUUGGACAAUGGGCGCAAGCCUGAUCCAGCAAUGCCGCGUGCAGGAUGAAGGCCUUCGGGUUGUAAACUGCUUUUGUACGGAACGAAACGGUCCUUUCUAAUACAAGGGGCUAAUGACGGUACCGUAAGAAUAAGCACCGGCUAACUGCGUG